CAGGAGUAGCAACUAUGUUGUGUAUAUAGACAACACGAUCUUCAAGCAACUGCUCAUCAAAUAUAAGACUGUAGUUAGAUCAUUAAAACACUGCUAAGAAACACACUCAGAAAACCACAGGUCAAUAGAUGCCACCAGAUGCCACAAAAGACACAACACUGUCAUUCUAGAUAAUCUCGGAACUAGAAUUUGAGCAGAGUGUAAAAAUUAUUUGCCAUCAUCAUUUGUAGUUACAUAAUAGAAGUUAUAGUUCUGCAUCAUCAUUGCCUUAAGCAUAUCAUAAUUAUAAAAAGUUAGAAUUAUUAGGAUAAUUACAUUAUUACACACAUAGAAAUAUGCAAACAGAUAGUAGAAAAAAAUAUCAAAUUAAAACAGAAAGUUCAAUCAAGUUAAAAAUUCAAAAGCCUAAUCAUGAAAAAACAGAAACACAAAAGACCUAAGCAGAAACCCAAGAAACGAUUUGAACCCCCUCUUCCAAAAGGCAAAUGAUCAAACAGAUGGUGGGUAAUUAAGAUUGAGAACAAAAGAGAAGCCAAUUCAACACAAAACCCAUAUCAAGGACAUAAAAAACCCAAUAUCUACAGGUCAAAUUACACUUAAAUACCUUUUAUAGACAGAUUGGGUAUCAACGCUCUUCGCCACGGAAAUUGGUUUCUUGGAUGAUGGGAUCGCUGAAUUGGCCACCGACGUGUUACCAUCUUGGUGGUGAUUGUUGAUUGUAGUCAUGGUCUUCUAAUUUCUCUAUCUAUAGAUUUAGAAAUUGAUGCCAAAAAUAGAGUUUAUAUAUAGAGAGAGUCAAAUUAGAGAGGAAAUGGUCUACUUACCAGACAAAAAGGGGGACCAAGGGCACAAUGGCAAUCACCCAGCCAAAAAUGAGGGCAUAACGGUCAUUUCACCACCACGCAGAGCACCGCGUGACCACGGACGGGGGUAACCCUGUCCGUCCCAUAUCCGGCCGUGGAUGGAGUUCGAAGGCGAUCAACGAAGAAAUCAGGGAGAGAAAGAUUAUCGCCAAAUACUGGAGAAGUGGGCUCAGAGGGAAAAAAAAUCAGUAAAAACCCAAAUCCGGGACCAUCUCCUUCCACCAAACAGGCUGUAAUGCUUAUGAGGCAAUCUUGGUGAUGCUAGGUUGAACUAUUUAUAUGAUUGCGAUCGUGAUUCUUUGCUUAUAGUGAAUGGCAUGAAAAAUUGCGAGGAAUAUUUCCCGAUGCUGGCAAUGUUUAUAAAAUUUUCCCAUCUAAUAGAAAAAGGAAAAAAAAAUGGCUUGUGAUUUUGAAAAUCAACAAUUAAUUGAAUUUGGUAAUAAAGUGAUUAGUAUGCAAUUAAUCUUCGUUGAGGCUGUGCUAAUAAAAAAAAAUCUAUGCUAAAUGGGUGGUAAUCGGUUUGGUCAGUUAGGUUUUGAGAGAAAUUAUGAGUUCUAAAUAAAAAUUUUGAUAUGUAGAAUUGUGAAACCGAAACUUAUAUUUUUAGUAAAAAAACCGAACCAAUCGAUUAGGGGGAAUUUGGUUAAGUUUUUUGUUUUUUUUUUCAUUUUUUUUUCUUUUUUUGGGUAUCCAUAAAUAUAUUCACUUAAUCAUUAAAUUUUAAACCACAAAAUAUAAAAAUUAACAGGUUUAAAAUUAAAAACUUUAAUAGUUUAUAAAUUCUAAUAAGACUUUAACAAGUGACAACAAAAUUUUAACAAGUCCAACAUUCUCUAAAAAAAAUAGAAAAUGCUAUAAAUCGUCUUUAGGGUAGUCGAUAGUGUGUAAAAAAGUAUGAAAAUUAUAUAAAAAUAUGUUAAAAUACAUUAAAAAAUAUAAAAUAUACAUUAAUUUUUUUUUUUUUUAUCAUUUCGUGUUUCUUAACCACCAUCCGGUCGUUAACCAGACCCAAAAGAAAUAUGUAGAUAACUAUGGAGUUUGCUAUGUCACCGAAACAAUGCCAGUCCAACAGAGUUGAAUGCCUUGAAGAAUGGCCUCGUUCUACGAUGGUCAAGCUGUACGCAAUGAACGCAAUAACUUGAUAAAGACACGUGGCAUGAAGAGAUAGGUAGAGACUCGACGCAUAAUUAAAAGGCUAUUAAAUUCAGGGGUUUGGAUCCUAUACGAAUGUUGCCCCUCCAAAGAUCAUCCAGAGCUUUUGCUCACGGCGCGACACCUGGCCGAGGAUGCAUAUGUGGCUAGAAAUAAGCCACGAUACCAACUCAAGACAAUUUGAGUUCAGCGGUGCCGUAUUGCAUCAACGAAAUUGCAGCUCUGUUCAAUUUUUUUUGGACGAUUAAGGGCUAAUUACAGUUUGUUCCUUUAAAGUGUUGAUUAAUUCCAAUUUGGUCCUUUAACUAGAACUUUUUCCACUUUAGCUCUCAAUCUAUUGAAUUAAUUGCGAUAAAGUCCAAUCAUUAAUUCCGUCCAUUCUUCUUAGUUUGCAAAGAAGAAGGACAAAUCACUUUAAAUGUGUAUUGAUUAUCGACGACUGAAGAAGAACGGAACACUUCGAAUGUGUGUUGAUUACCGGCGACUGAAUCGUGUGACGAUAAAGAACAAGUAUCAACUUUUGAGAAUGGAUGACUUGUUUGACCAAUUGAAGGUUUUGAGUUGUUUCUCGAAGAUUGACUUGAGAUCAGGUUAUUACCAGUUGCGGAUUAAGGAAGAGGAUAUAGCGAAGAUGGCUUUUCACUCACGCUACGGACACUAUGAAUUUCUUAUAAUAUCGUUUGGUCUUACGAAUGCGCUAUCAACUUUCAUGGACUUGAUGAAUCGUGUCUUCCAUCCAUAUCUUGAUCGGUUCAUAGUCGUGUUCGUGGACGACAUCUUGAUCUACUCUCCAUCAGUUGAGUCGCAUGAGGAGCACCUGAGGAUUGUAUUAUAGCUUAUACUGUGCCGCUUCACAUGAUGGCUUGGUGUGUGUUUUGAUAUAGCUGGGCAUGGUGAUUGUGUAUGGUUCACGUCAGUUGAAGAUGCACAAGUAGAAUUAUCCGACUCAUGACUUAGGGCAUAUGGCCGUUAUAUUUUCUUUGAAGAAUUAGAGGCAUUACUUGUAUGGAGAACAUUUUGAAGUGCUUUCAGACCACAAGAGCUUGAAGUACCUAUUUACGCAAAAGGACUUGAACUUGAGGUAGCGACGUUGGAUGGAAUAUAUGGAGGACUACGACUUUGACUUACAUUAUCAUCCAGGGAAGACCAAUGUUGUGGCCGAUGCGCUUAGUAAAAAAUUCCUUAGUACCUUGACAAGCAUUUCUAUUCAUGAGUGGCAUAUGCUUCAGUAUCUUGGUGAGUACGACUUACUUCUUAGCGAGACAGACGAGUUUGCUACAUCCAUCAUCAGUCGAAUUAUUGAGGCACAUCAGUAGGAUGUGGAGGCCAAGACGAUUUGUGACCGCAUUGCAAGAGGUGUAAGGCCAACAAAUUGGAUUUUGCAUCCAAAUCAGGGUUUGAGGUACAAGUCCAGAUUAUUUGUACCUUUGUCUAGCAGAGACAAUUUUCUUCGUGAGUUUCAUCAUUCAUAAUUUGCAGUUCAUUCUGGAGGGAUGAGGAUGUAUCAUGACUUGUGUCGCCAAUUUUGAUGAAGAAGAAUGAACAAGGACGUUGCCUUGUUCGUUUUGCAAUGUCUAACUUGCCAACAAGUGAAAGCAAAGCACCAGAGACCAGCAGGUUUUCUACAACUAUUGUUAGUUGCUAAAUGGAAAUGGGAGUAUAUCACGAUGGAUUUCGUGGUGGGUUUGUCUAUAUCACUGAGAGGGCAUGACAUCGUUUGGGUUGUGGUCGAUUGUUUGACCAAAUCUGAGCACUUUCUAUUUGUUAGUCAUAUUCAGUAGAGGAUCUUGGCAUUGUUUAUACUCGUGAAAUUGUUCAACUUCACAGAGUUUCGGUAUCUAUCGCUUCUAAUAGAGACCUGCAUUUUACAUCGUUCUUUGGGAAGGGGAUGCAGUCAACUCUUGUCUCAAAUUUGAGAUUUAGCAAAGCUUUUCAUCCUCAGACCGACGGAUAGUUUGAGCAUACUAUUCAGAUUCUAGAGGACAUACUUCAAGCACGUGUGCUUGAAUUUAGAGGAUCGUGGGAGGAUCAUGUACACUUAGUGGAAUUCGCGUACAAUAAUAGUUAUUAGGUGAGGAUCGAGAUGAUACCUUUUGAAGCAUUGUCCGACAAAUUAUGUAGGUCACCUAUUUAUUGGACCGACGUUGGAGAGGCAUCGCUUGCAAAGUCGGAUUAGGUUGGUGAUAUGACCGAAAAAGUAGUCUUGAUUAGGAAGCGUUUGCUCACAGCACAGAGUCGCUAGAAGAAUUAUGCCUACCGAAGGAAACGUCACUUGGAGUUUAGAGACCACGUAUUCUUAAAGGUUUCAUCAACGAGGGGAUUGAUGCAUUUUAGGUGUAGCGGCUAGCUAUCAUCGAGGUUUAUUGAACCGUUCGAUAUCCUCGGUCGUAAAACGAGGGGAUUGAUGCAUUUUAGGUGUAGCGGCUAGCUAUCGUCGAGGUUUAUUGAACCGUUCGAUAUCCUCGGUCGUAUUGGAGCUGUGGCGUUUCAUCUUGCUUUGCCACCGAGGUUGGCCAGUGUUCACAAUGUGUUUAACAUCUCGAUGUUGCGGAAGUAUGAGCCCGAUCUUUCACACGUUUUGGAUUGGAGAGAUCUUAUCAUCAACGAUGACAUCACUUAUGAGGAGUAACCAAUUCAUAUGUUGAAUACAUGGGAUCAAGUUCUUAAAGGGAAGACCAUUCCCUUAGUGAAGAUUUUAUGGCUUCAUCAUAGCAUGGAAGCGGCUACAUAGGAGCAUGAGUCAGAGGUUCGUGCGAAGUAUCUAGAUCUUUUCAACCUAUCUGAUACACUUAUCUAAUUUCAAGUACGAAAUUUUUUUAAGUGAUGGAAGUUAUAAGGUUAAAAAAAUUUCUUUUAUAUAUAAUGUAAUUAUGACGCAUAUGUGAUGUCAUCAUAUUAUAUAUAUGAAUUUGAGUAAAAAUUAAAUAUUUUUUUUGGAAGUAAGUUUUCAUUUGGAAUAGUGAUAAAGUAAAAUUGGUUAUUGGC
rnacentral:lncRNA from 1 species